CUGCAACACGGGUGCUUAUAUGGGUCUUCUUAUCAUCAUAAAGUUUAGCCAAACCGAAGUCUGAUAUUUUAGGUGUGAGAUCAGAGUCCAGCAGAAUAUUACUGGCCUUCACAUCCCUAUGCACAAUUUUCAGCCUUGACUCUUCAUGAAGAUAAGCUAGGCCCCUUGCAAUACUCAGACAGUAAUCAAACGUGUUGCCCAAUCAUGAUUCAAGGUCCUUUGCCCUGCACCGUGGAGGCACUAUAUCAUAAGUCCAAGUGUCACUUUUUACAUGACAAAAGACAUAAUCGAGGUGACUAUUCUGUCACCUACCAAACAUCGCCUGAUCAAGACUCUUGUUUUCUAGACUAUACAAGAAGCCGAUUAUCUGCAUCAAUGCAGCAUCCAUACGAUUUAACAAGGUUGUGGUGUUGCACUGCAGAUAUAGUGGCAAGCUCUAUCACGAAUUGAUUCUUUCCCUGGUGGGAUAUUACAGAUAGUUGCUUAACAGCAAUCACUCUCCCAUCAUCAAGUGUUCCCUGAUGUCACUGAUAUGGUCAGUACUUCAAAAUAUAAAAAAAAAAAAAAAAAAAAAAAAAAAAAAACGCUUAAGCCAUUUUUAGACCAAUAAUGCGAUCACCAUGAUAAUGCAUACUCCAGUUCCUAGACUAUCUGGAAGCUCCACUUAAGUCUGACUAUCAAGAAAUGCCAUCCAUCUUCUAGAACUACACUAUAUUAGCAUAUAGAUGACAAAUGAAGGACGGUCAACCUAAUUUAUGUUACUCAAUCUAGACCUAGCAAAUAUAACCAAGAAAAUUGUCCAUUCAUUACUUGAAACCUUACGUAAUCAACAAUUUGCUAUAUUAUCCACAGAUAUUUGGAUGUUAUCCAUUGAACUUCUUUCUUUCCUGGACGUAAUUUAGGAUCUAUCAGAGUUAUCCUCCCAAGCCAAAGGAUGAUUUCCCAAAGAAUGAAAAAGCAAUAUGCGAAGAAGGGCUUUUCUUUUCAAGGCAGAGAAAAUAGGAAGUUCGGUCAACCAGCACACAAAAAACAUAGUCUUUUUCUUUUUGGCCCAGGGUACCGAAACCAUAAGCGCUGUUCCUUUCGUAAUCUGUUUCUCUUCUCUUUUUCCAUUCUCUCUCCAAGAAACACUUUCACAUCCCUCCCCAAGUUUUUUAUUGGGAUUGAAGUCAUCUGCAGCAGCCUUUAGUUCUGCAUAGCUGAAAGUGUAAGGGCUAGCAUCCAUGCCAAGGAACUCUGUAAGACACAAUAAUGCAGAUAAAAUUCCGGCUAUUGGAAUAUAUUUCGCAACCUUUUGUCACUAAGUUUUUGACUUUUCAGAAAUAUGUUAGCUGCUGAAUUAUUCAUCCAGCAAAAUCAAAAUGCAUUCAUGAAAUUUAGUUUCAACUAGAAAACAAGGAAAUUUCACUUCUUACCACCAGUGGGCAAUGAACUCAAAAGCUCUUAAUAACAGCGGCAUGUCAAUAUAGAGAUUUCUCAUUCUUUUUACCUCUGCAGAACAUUGUUUCCAUCUUUUAUCCAAAAACAUGAUGAGAACACGAAUUACAGAUAGGAAACUAUCAUGAGGAAGCUAUCGGAAGCUUCUGAUAGUGUGGUUUACCUUGAUCUUCAAUCAUGCGUGCCAUUCUCCUUCUCCGAAAAACAUAGAACACCAGGAGAACAGCCACCAAACCGACCACUCCAACUCCAGUAGCAACUCCAACUAUCAAGCCAGUGCAAUCCCUUUUGCGGGUUGGAGGAUUGUUACUGACAGUGGGUAUAAAGUCUGCACAAAGUCCGCCAAUUUAGUAAUGUUUUAAAAAGUGGUACUGGGAGUAUGAGCAGUUUUUUAUCAUAGUACCUGGGACAGCACUAAUGGCUGAAAUUGGCGGCUCAUAUGUGGCUUGAUUUGGUACACAACAAGUCCCUUUUCCAGCACAAAAGAAGUGUAUUUCAACUUUUCAAGAUAGUUUGCUGUUACCUGAGCCUGAUACAAUUUUGGGACAGCUGUAAAGGAGGCACCAUCUGCCUCUUUCCGUAUGUUGAAAUCCUUUGCCAUGAGGUUUCCCUGAAAUAAGCACAUAUGGCAUUGGCAAUUGAUCAUGACCUUUCUUAGUAAAACGAGAAGCCUGGUAAAGCAUGGCCCUACCUGUAUGCAUAUAUCAAAAAGACGCCUCCCAAGAAGUUUCCAUUCAGUAUUCUGGAUAUGUAUUUCAGCACUGGAAGGUGACAUUGUAGUUUCCGUUCUCCAGCCCUAGUCCAUAGUAUCGUAGAGAUGAAGCAGAGACCCGUGCAGUCUGGAACAGCUCUGAGUCUAACGUUUCGGUGAACUGGGACAUCGAGGAAGCACUGUUGGUGGGAUCGUAGCUUCCUGUGAAAUAACCAACAUUGCUCACUGCCCACCUCUCUGAGUUGGUCACGUAGUAGGUAGCAGGACCAAAACUGAUACUAUCCUGCUCAUACACAAUAUUACUGGACAAAGUAUUCUGAGGGCCACCGCAUUUUACUGAAAAAUUAUAAUCUGCAUGGCAAACAUAAAAAAGCAGAUCAUGAUGAGUUUGUGAAAGGUACUACAUUACAUAAUGGACAAGAAUUAUCUGCCAAAGGACAUGCACUUUGUACAUAUUAAAUUUUCGCAAUCCACCUGAUUUAACUAUAUAUAUGAAUGGCACAUGCUUAUCUUCAAAACUGACUUCCUACAGUCUGUUGCACAGCAUUGUAAUAUGCUGUUGCAAAUGUAAUAAUAAAUUAGUUCUCUCACAAUAUAGUGAAGAGACCCACAAAGUACUAAUGAAAAUGAAGUAAGGCCCUUUCGGGGGAAAUAUCACAGAUAAAUGGGAAGCCUAGAGAGGCAAUUAUUGAACAUUAAGCGGCCUGCCUUAUAUCUCUGUCUGUGGCUUGAGCUGACAACGGGACAUCAAAACUACAAAGCUGUCCCCUUUCUAAGAAAAUAACCUAGCAUAGUAACUUGAACCUUAAUUUUUCCUCUCUUCUACUGAACUACCCCUAAUCUAACUUACUGGAAGAAACUAAUUUGACCAUUCUGUCUUCUACUACAUUUAAAUUUACUGUUCACUUCACGUAUCAGGAUGCAAGCAUGCAGAAUAUCUAAGGUAACUGGAAACACGAUCUCCCGUCCUCCUCUUGUUGGGGCAUUCAAUGAAAGGAAAGCGUAUUAAGGGGAAAAGGUUACAUGGACUUACAGAUUCCAUUCCCCGUAUUGCAAGGAAAAUUCCGUUGAAGACAGUUUAAUCCUGGAAGAAGGCUAAGAUAAAAGGAGAAAAUUUUACCCAGUUGACAUGUAUGGCAGCAGUAUGAACUUAUGAGUAAAUCAAGAGCAGAUACUUCUAUAGCAAGGAAAAUUCCUUUUCCAUUUUAUGACUUUCACUGAAACAUUCAAGAUAUCUUCAUUGAGGAUGCAAUUGCUAAUUAAAUGCUGAAACUUCUUAAAUCAUUGAAGCGGUGACAGCAUCUCCAAGUCAUAGUUCAAAUUGCAUGCUUUUCUAGUGAAUACUAAUACUGAGUUUUGCAGGAUUGCUGAUUCUCAACUGCAUCAAUUACGAGGAUUAAAAGAUGAUGAAACUUUAGUAUCAGUAUUUAAUCAAAUUACUGACAUGCACAACGGCAUAUGAAUAAGGACAAUCAUAUGAAAGUCACUAUCCAUGACAGUUCUUUUGUAGGCAGUGUUUAAAUGAUUUACAUUUGUUCCAAGCAGUAGAUUCGGCAACCAAAUGUGAGUGAGUUUUAAUGUAAAUUCAGCAUGCAUCUGUGAUCUCAAUUAAUGGAAUUAGAAUGACAAAGGACAAAUUUGAUAUAUGAGCAUCCAGAAAGCCCAGCAGGGUAGCGGGAUUGGUGAUUAUCCUCGUAAAGUGAGGUAGGCAUUCAAGACAAAUCUGAGGACACAUCAGCUAACCGUUUUCAAUUGAAUGGAUUACCGUUUAUGAUCACUCAAGAAUCAUAAGCAAAAAGUCGCUAGGGCAAUUACCUAGCAUUAGAGUUGUCCAAUGUAAAGUUGUUGCCAAAUGUAAAGUUGUUGCCAACCAGAUUACUGCAAAAUGCAUCAUGAAAAAAAUUGUGAUCAGAAGUCUCCCCACAAGAUUGAAACACUUACAGCUCAUCCUUUAGCUAGAUAGUGACUUCAAGUACUAUAUAGCAUCCCUCGAGCAACAAAAGAUUGAGAAAGUGCAAAAGAAGAGUCCUCACUUAAGAUAUCUAACUAAAAGUAUAAAUUAUCUUUUUUCAAAUGACAGAAAUACAUACAGUUGUAUAUUAUAGCUGACCCAAGAAGGAAUGCUUCCCAUCAAGUUAUUGUAUAACACGUCUCUGCAAAAAUGGCACAGGAGAGAUGUCAUUUAGUUGACCAACAGGGUAGUUGUCUAUCAGUAUCAAAUAGCAUGCUCUGAUGUGUCAAACAACAAAAUGCUGAUUAUAUUCUCCAUGUUCACAAGCGCAAAAUAGUUGACUUUGAAGGAAACUAUAUUUAAUACUGAGUUAGCUAUAGAGGGAAAAGGAGAAAAAACUAUUCAGGUUGAUGAUGAAAGACAGACAUGCUUCGGCAUAUUUUCAAUCAAUCUCAACUGAAACAACGACUUACAGCUGAGAUAAACUCUGGUAUCCUGAAAAAUCUAAUGGGAGUGAAUCUGAGAUAUUGUCAUUCCUCAGUAUCAUGGAAACAAUUGGGUAAGCCCAUUUCACAUAUGGGCCAAAAGAGAAAAAGAAGGGAAAAGAAAGUCUGCUAUAUGCUCUGGAAUCACAAUGUCUUACAGAAUAGACAGAUUCUUCAUAUUCCUGAUGAAUUCCAGUGAAGAGCUCACAUUAGACACAUCACUUAUUCUCCUGCAUUAUGUACUCAACUCAUUGUCAGUUUGUUCAAGGCUGUGGUAAGUUAUUUUUUACAUGCAUAGAAACAGAAAGUACACAGCCCACUCACAAGUCUGUCAAAGCAGUUAAAUUGGAAAAUGUCGAAGGAAUCGAACCUUCAAAAGAAUUUCCUUGAAGAAACCUAUAAGCAAAACAAAUUGAGAAAAAAUUGGACAAAUUUAUCACAUACUGUUUAAUGAUAAUAUAAUACAGAAUUAAUGCUAUAGAAUUUGUCGAAUUUCAAUUUCCAGAGCCUACAAACUGUUGUCAAAGGUAGACAUUCAUAGUCCUAGGCAUGGUUAGAUGAAAAACAAACAUUAUAUUGCCUUACAGCUGUGCAAGCUGUGACCAAUUUCCUAUGAAUUCUGGUAUAUUGCCAGUGAAGUUGUUAUCUGAUGCCCACUUGCAACCAGAAAAGGUAUUUCUGCUGAGAAAUCAUAUCACAAAGCUUUGCCUGUUAAUAGUUUUUUUCUAGUAUCAAAGGAGGAAUGAAGCUCUUACACUGUUUGAAGAUUUUUAAGCUUGGAAAAUGUUGACGGAAUCUCAGCACUGAGUCCGGAACUAUCCAUGCAACCGUACAAUAAGUAACUUCCAUCAGCCAAGGGAAUUUUAUUAAUUUAACACAACUCAAAUAACUCAAUAGUUUGUCCUUUUGAAUAGUUGAAAGCAGGAGUGAUGCCAAGAGGAGAGGGUGACAUUGUGUCAUGGAACAUUUGCACAACAUCCACGAGACUUGAAAAGGUUUACACCCAGAAAGUACACAGCCAAACAUUGCGGGAGUCUCUAGUAGUUGAAAUGUCAACAAAAAGAUGACAGUGAAAGUGAAAUAUGAGGUAUAAGGGCUAGGCAAUGUGAUGAUGGGCAGAAUGAUAGUAACAACAACAUGCUACUGCAAGUCGGAAAGGUUGAAAGAAACUAAUCAAUUUGAAAGGAUGCAUGAAAAAAAUUUACUUAGUCCGUUUGCCACCUAUUCCAUUUGCCACCUAUUUCGACAAAACUGACCUCUGCCAAACUCCAAUACCUGCAAAUAUUUUAAAAGGAAAAAUCCUUAUUUAAGAAUGUUAAGCAGGCACGACAUACAGUUGCUGCAAUUUGGACAGAUUUCCAAGCUCAGAAGGCAGAGAGCCACUGAAGUUAUUGGUGCUGAAGGACCUACAACAUUAAACAAGCCGUCAGAUCCACUCUUUCUUUUAUAUCUUUUUGCAAGCCAAUUUUCAUUGAAAAUUAGUCUGAACAUCCAGUGGACCUAAUGCAGUUGAAUCCUUCUGCUUGACAUUACAAAUCCUGUUCUGGAACUGUUACUUACAAUGCCAAUAGCUCUGUAAGUUGCGCAAGUUGCGAUGGAAGCUCCCCUGAUAAUGCAUUGAUGGCCAGACUCCUGAAGUAAAUCAGCAGAGCAAGCAUCAGGAAAGAAAGAAAACUGCUUAAAAAAAGGAGCGGUCGUAUAAAUUUUGAAACAAGAAUUGAGUUGUGCUCACAGAUACUGCAUGCGAGUUAGGUUGCCAAUGGAUGGAGAUAAGGAACCAGUCAAGAGAUUUUGGGCCAAGUUCCUGUAUAAAGUACAUUAUACCAUCAGAUUUUGAAACCUUGGUGUGUAAAAUCAUUAUGGGGCUUCGGCAAAUGAGAGCAUGUGAGUGUUGCGUAGACAAGCUCGAACUGAGUGUUGCUUAAUUAUAAGGCAUGACACAUGGCACACCAUGAAAACGCCAGGGAAAUGAGAAACUACUGGAAAAGACAGAAGAAGUGGAAUACGACCAAUACAUACAGAUCGAAGAGGUAAGUCAAGUUCCAUAGCUCAUCAGGGAUAGGACCAGCAAUGCUCAGUGCAUAAACUUGGCUGCAACCAGAGAAAAACCACCCGGUCAUGAGAUAAGACACGCACAUGGUGGGCGAGAUACUGUCGAUAUGUACAGCUGUGUAAUGUGGCAAAUAGUGGAAUUGUUGAAGGAGCAGUCGCAUUUGAUGAAAGGGUUGUAAUCGACGAAGGAAAUGGAGUCGUCGAUCACGGCUCCGCUGGAUGGCUCUCCACUUAUGUUCCAUGUUGGCGUCUGCGAAGUGAGUCCCCAUGUCGACUGUAUCGAGUUCAGAAUCGCCACUACAUUCGCAUAACCAUCAUCAACUCGCACGUGUCCAGCUUCAUACUCAAACUAAAUGCAUUGGGGCGUGAUUCUUAUUUUAAGUAAAUGGAGAGUGAUUUAGACAAUUAAGUGCAAUUUAUAAUACACCUUCGUUUUGCGGAAAAUAAUUUUCAGAAAAAUAUUUUCAUAUUUUCUGCCGUUGAUUUCAUGGAAAAUGAAUUCCUUGAGGAAAACAUUUUUCAUAAAAAAAAAACUUCUAAAUUAGGGAAAAAUAUUUUUUUUUUGGUAAGUUAGGGGAAAAUGUUUUCUACUUUUGAAAAGUAGAAAACAUUUUCCUUACUUGAUCAAUCUUAUCUCACACCUAUAUAAAUCAUCACUUCCUCCUCCCCUUCUUCUUCUUCUUUUCUUUUUUUCAUUUGAAUUUUUUUUUUAAUUUGAAUUUUCUUUUUUAUUUUAAUUAGAAUUAUUUUCAAAAUUUCCUUUUUCUUUUCUUUGUUUCCCAUUUCAUUCUUCCUUAGCCGGUUGCCCGCCAGAACGAGGCUUGCCCACCUCUGGUGAGCUUAGGCUCAUCGCUUGCCAGAUCGGCGAGCGUCGAGCUCGAGCUUCACCAAUGCUCGCGCUCGCCGAUCUGGCGAGGCUUGAGGUUGGCAAGCUUGAGGCUCUCCAGAUUAGCGAGCUCUGAGCUCACCAGCCACAAGCUCGCACUCGCCAAUCUAGCGAGCCUCGAGCUCGAGGCUCGCCUAUGGCCGAUCGCUGGCUAUUGCUAUGGCCGGCGACCGGCCAAGAAAGAAGAAGAUGAAAAAAAAAGAAAAGAAAAAGAAAAAAGAAAAAAGAAUUUAAUAAUUGAUUUUUUAAAAAUAAAAAUAACUAAAAAUAAAUUUUUUAGAAAAUGAAAAUUCGACUUUAAAAAAUAAAAUAAAUGAAAAAUAGUAUAUGGAGGAAAAGAUUUUCCUUACCGAAUAACAAAAAAUAUUUUUUACUUCAUUUUCAGGUUUCUCUAAAUACUAGAAAAUAAUUAAAUUUUUCUAGAAAAUGACUUCUUGCUAUAUUUUUCGUGAAACGAACAGAACUGUAUUCACAUACUAUCCAACCAGUUGAAUUGUAGAAAAGAGGACAGCCGCUUCAUAUGGAGUAGUAUUUGUGCAUUUCCCAGACAUAUGGUCUUAAGGAAACCAUUUUUGCUUUCUUGAUAGUCAAUAUUUUAAGAGUAAAGAUUAUACGAUAAGUCAUUAAAAUAAAAGUGAGAAUUCCAUAUGAAUUGAAUCAACAUAAGAAGGUGAAAGAAGAACCACCGACAUCCUUACAGUCCCAUAGCAUGUCGCUUUUUAGAUAAUAAAGUGAUGUAAUGAUAAGUUGACGAAAGGUUAGGAAAAAAUAUCAUCGAGAUGUUUUGAAAAGAAAUCUCUGUCCGAACAUGAAAAGAGAGUACAUUCGAGAACUGACGUUGGGAUGGGAUUUUCUCUAGUAAGAUGACACCUCUCUCAAGAAAAUAUUCACUGAUUUCUUCCCAUUACGACGUCAUCAUCUUCCGUGGCAUAUACCUUUUUAUUUUAUCCAAUCACCACUUGGCAUGUAAUAAUCUGACGUGGAAUCACAAAAAGUUGAAAAUCUACUCAGACCAAGUCACUCUCUUCAUCUUUCUCCAGCCACAGCCACGUCCGAGCCUGACCUCCGAGCGUCCCCCGCCGGCGCCCAUCUCGACCGACACUGCUGCGUGUCCAAACCCGAUCCACCCCCACCGCCGUCUUCAUUGUCAGCUUCGCCUUCGCCGGAAAUAGUCCUUCAUCCUCGUCGUCGUUGUGGUCAUCUUUACCCAUUUUUGGCCUUGAGCAAAUGCCCAAAAAUAUGGGGAAAAAUAAGGAAAAAAAUAGAAAUCUCUUGACAAAGAAAUUUGGGGAAAUAUCUUUGAGACAAAGAAGGGGCGGUGAGUCUCUUGGCCUGUCCUUUUAGUCGGUCUCUUGGCUUGUCCUUUUGACCAAAAGGUAGAAGACAUGGCCGCAAACAACUCGAUUUUUGGGAGAUUUGUAGAAGCUGGGUUAUAGAAAUCUGUGGAAGCAGUGGACAAAGAAAGAAGCCCAGAAACUUGAAUGCUGAGGCCCUCCCAUUUUGCAGCGCAUCUCGUCACCAAAACAGGGGAAAAAAAUAAAGUUGACCCAUAAAGUUGACCGACGCAUCUCGUCACCAGAAGACGACUUCCUAUAUUCGUCUUCGGCUUCGUCUUCCCCUGUGAUUGGGCUCCGGUGGUGGAAGGGAACUCAGCUCACCGCUGGCGCGACAACCACAGCGGGGUAAGGGCUCGUGGAAGGAGGUUGCGGCGGAACGGGGAGAUGAGAGGCCGGAGCGGUGGUUAGAAGGAAGACAGAGGAAAUAUGAUUUUUAAUUUGUUUCAAUAUAUAUAUAUAUAUAUCUGUGUGUGUGUGUGUGUGUCAAGUGGUGAUUGGAUAGAAGCAAUAAGGUGCAUGCGGCGAAGGAUAAUGACAUGGUGGGAAGGAAGCAAAUCCUCCAAGGGGUGUAUAUAUGAACGAAAUUAAAUACCCAGAUAAAGCUAAUCACUGGUAUGAAAAAAUUAUUACUAAAUAAAUUUUAUUAAUAUUAUUAGAAGGACGCAUUAAAUUUCAAAAAAUGUAAAAUAAACCUCAAUGUUGUAUUUCAAGUUAAGUUGUGUCAAGAGUUGAAGACCUUAAUUCAAGGUUUUGGCGAAAUCAACAAUACGGAACAACAAUGGCAAAAAUAUGAUAUCCAUUACAUUAUACGAAAUAGCGAAAUGAUCAAAACAUGUAGUGUAAUAUCGCUAGAUGAGAUUAUUACCUACUCAAUUGAAUGUUGUACGCAAAGAAAAAAGAAGCAUUAGGGACCUAAAUGAAUUAUAGAAAUUGAAGAAAAUUUGUGAAUCAACAUAUGCAUAUAACUGCAUUAUACAUGAUCUUAUGCCAUUUCAUAUAAUUAAGAAGUCAAUAUACGAUUAAGUAUUUUUCUUGAAAAUAAAAUGAUAAUUAGUACUAGUUAGUAUGGAAAACAUAAUAGAAUAGAGAUACAGCAGAUGCAUAAGUUAAUGAAUUAUAUUCACUAUCUUUUUCUCUUCUAUUUUGGGGGCUACAUCCACCAUUUAAAAAUGGCAUCUCAUGAAUAUCUUAUCGCUUAAUAAUAUCAUGUUAUGGAUUUGUAAUUAAAAAAAAUCAUUUCAAUGUUUUGUUGUUUCUUGCAAAAGAAACCACAAACUCUUUGGCUCUUCCAAUGGUCCAUCUCCUACAAUUCAAAUAUGCUGUUGAAAUAGCACCAUCAUAAGAUUGAAAUAACAGUGCACUAAACAAGAAUUAUUAUGCAAACGUGGUAAAUUGGUUACCCGGUUGCCUUGGUUAAAUAAGAGGACAUCGUCCAAUGUUGUCGUCUAAUCAGAGUCUAUCAAAAUCUUAAUUAUACUUUAGGAAGGAGAUGAUUUUCAUUAUCAGGAAGGGUGUUGACAUCAUCCGCACUCUUAAGGAAAAAAAGCUCAUUAAACACAAGAACACACAUAGAGAGGAAGAGGGUUUGUUUGGACCUUCAGAAGGGAUAGUUGCAGCCUGAGUCUGAUUCUAAGCACGAGCGAUAUCUGCAAGUAGUAUGCACGCUGCAACAUGCAAGGCAAAGAUCACCCUCGAAUUUGCCAUAGUUCAACCUGAGAGAGAGAGAGAGGGGGGGGGGGGGGGGGGGGGGGGAGAUCCUUAGAGCUGGAGAGCCACGUGUACAUAUGAGUAGAUAUAAUUUGAUGAGAAAGCCAAGGGCAAUGGCGUUAGAGAAAAAGAUCAGAAAUGGCCCCUCCACUUUGCCUUACUUUCAAUGAAGUCUCGAGCUGUGUACAAAUUUUGUAAUUAGCCUUUGUGUAAUAUUUGACUUUUCAAUAAGUGGUGGGACCCAUUUUUAUUUUGGAAAAAAGGAAAGAGGGUUGAAAAGAGAGCCCAAAGAAGACGGGAGAUUAAAAAAGAAAAAAAGGAAGGGAGAGAGAAAGGCAAAAAGAAAAAGGAGGGAGAAGAAGAGAAAAGUGGUUUGGCGUGUGCACGUCGCAUACACCUCGCCAAGUCAACUUAACUCCGUAGUGCAACGUUUGGUUAGUGUUCACACUCCUUGCUCUUCCAAUGAGUAUUUUCAAUAUUAAGACUUGACAUUUGGAAUUAUUGGAGAUUUGUGCGGCGAAAUCCAAUUUUUAAGUCGUUCAGUUGUGCAUUUUUAUAGAAAUGAUAGUUUAAGGUAUUAUGGAGUCAUGGAUUUUAAAAAUCUUGAUUCGUACAGCUUUAGAUUACAUAAUGGCAAAAAUAAUUGACAGGGAGAGCCAUCUUCUAGAGAAAUUCAUCUGUACGUACAAUUAAUUAAAUACGGUACAUAAUGUUGGUGUAAUCAACUGAUAAAGCAUGAUAUGGAUGCGGCAGAGAUCCAUCCAGGUAAACCAUGUUCAUCUACCAUCUCCGAUUAUCUCAUCAAGCAUGGGUGUCGUUGCAAUUCCCGGUGAAAAAUUUGCAGUUCCAACAGUGCUUGCAGUGAAUGGGGAGUUGUAAGGGCUCUUGUCUGUGCUCUUAUCAGCAGUCUCGGCCAAGGAGCUAGUUGUAUCAUUGAAUCUCCAAUCAGUCAAGUAGCCUGGCCUCGUGGACACGGUCGCCACUUCAAUAUCCCCAGAGAGCAUUGCCACCACACGGGACAUUGGGGGUCUCAGCGCUGGCGAUGUUUGAGUGCACAAGAGUGCUAUUGCAACAAUGCGUUUUGCCUCUUCUUCACUGAACUCUGAUAAUCUAGAAUCCGCCAGCUCCACAACACGGUUGGUUUCGUGCAGGUUCCAAGCCUGAGAAGCAGGAACCAAAAGUGACAAGGAUGUUAUCAGGCAAACCCAUAGAUAGAAUUAGCAGGGAAGAAAAUAGGAAGAAGGAUAAUGAUGUUUCCUUCUUAAAUAAUGGCCAUAAAACAAUCGAACAAGUGGCAGAAUAUUCAAGUGCGUACCCAUUCAAGGAGAUAUAUCUUUUCUUCUUCCAAGCUAGGGUCUGAAUUUGACCUUCCGCUGACAACCUCUAGAGCCACUACGCCAAACGCAAACACAUCUGCCUUCUCUGUAAGGUGGCCACGCAUUGCAUACUCGGGAGCAAGAUAUCCACUACAAAAGCAAUAAGAAAGCAUAAUUAGAUUCUCAGCAGCUGUAGGCGUCAAUGUGCUAAUGCAUAUGGCUCUGUUUGCAUAUGGCAGAAGAACAUGGAGCUUACAUGGUUCCCGCAACACGGGUGCUUAUAUGGGUCUUCUUAUCAUCAUAAAGUUUAGCCAAACCGAAGUCUGAUAUUUUAGGGAUGAGAUCAGAGUCCAGUAGAAUAUUACUGGCCUUCACAUCCCUAUGCACGAUUCUCAGCCUUGACUCCUCAUGAAGAUAAGCUAGGCCCCUUGCAAUACCUAGACAGAUAUCAAACCGUGUCGCCCAAUCAAGAUUCAAGGUCCUUU
rnacentral:lncRNA from 1 species